UUAGCAAAGUGGUAUAAGCAUGCGGCUCAUGAGCCGUAGGUCCCCGGUUCAAUUCCCG
rnacentral:tRNA from 16 species